GAUGAACGCUGGCGGCGUGCCUAAUACAUGCAAGUCGAGCGAACGGACGAGAAGCUUGCUUCUCUGAUGUUAGCGGCGGACGGGUGAGUAACACGUGGAUAACCUACCUAUAAGACUGGGAUAACUUCGGGAAACCGGAGCUAAUACCGGAUAAUAUUUUGAACCGCAUGGUUCAAAAGUGAAAGACGGUCUUGCUGUCACUGAUAGAUGGAUCCGCGCUGCCUUAGCUAGUUGGUAAGGUAACGGCUUACCAAGGCAACGAGGCAUAGCCGCCCUGAGAGGGUGAUCGGCCACACUCGAAAUGAGGAACGGCCACGACGCGUACGGGAGGCAGCAGUAGGGAAUCUUCCGGACAGGGCGAAAGCAUGACGGAGAAACGCCGCGUGAGUGAUGAAGGUCUUCGGAUCGUAAAACGCUGUUAUUAGGGAAGAACAUAUGUGUAAGUAACGGUGCACAUCUUGACGGUACCUAAUAAGAAAGCCACGGCUACCUACGU
rnacentral:rRNA from 1 species